AGAAGAGGUUGUUCAUACCACGCUAUGUUUUUCAGUGGAGGACAAGGAGCCUGCUGAUGACCUGCAGGGUAAUUGCAAUAAAAAAGAAAUGCCAGCUGCAGACAAACUGGGGAAAACUCUGACUAAUGAACCUUAUCAUGUAUAUUGAGUCUGCAAGAAGAAGAAAGGAGGAUGCAUCACUGGGGGAUGGGACUCACCUUCAAAGAGGUCUCCCCCAUUCCAGCAGGGCAAGUGGGGAAGUGGCUGUGUUGCCAGCCAGGAUUAAACCAUGAUACAGGUAUAGAAGAAAUCUAUUUAAUUCCUAAUGAGAACUAAGAGCUCCUCUCUAUCUGUUGUCAAGGAUGUUGUUUCUCCUUCAACAACUAGUCCAGAAUGACGUAGUCUUUAAAGAAGAAUUCCAGCAGAGGUAUUCAAUCUGGAGUUAUUUGUCAAAUUAGUCAUGAUACUUGUUUGUAAGUAGUAACAAAUGGAAAACUUCAUGUUACAUGCUAGAAGGAAAAAUAGGCUAAAUAAUUCUUAAGCAAUGUUCAGAUGUCAGGCAGGAAAUCCUGCUCACAUGGGACUGUAUCAUGUUGCACACCUUUUUGGGGCUCUUUAACGAGAAAGGAUUUCUGUUUCUUCUUAAAUAAUUCGAAGGGUUGUAGUAGAGAGGUGAAAGGAUGCCUUUAACUCUGGUGUCUAUUGAGGGCAAAUUCAGGCAAGACUCAUAUUUCUGAGUGUUGUACAAUCUUGGCUGACUGAACUGAGUGAAUUUGGGGUGUAGCCUCACUAGGAGUGGACCACCUCAGCCUGACACAUCCCAGGGGACUUUGUGGUGUGUCCUGCAGCAACAUAGGUGAGAAAUGUCUAUGAGCCAAAUGCACCAUCCAGCCUGUGAGCAUUGCCAGGAGAUUUUGCUGAGGGGUGAGAACAGGUUUUUUGAUACCCACAACAGCAGAUAAGAAAAAGAGUGAUACACAAGAGCACCCAUAUGUUAUGUCACAUGAGAGCAGAAAGGGUUCUUUACACGUCUCUACUGGAAGAUGGAGCUGGGUCUGAAAGCAAAAGUUGUCAGGGCACUGAGCUAACCAAACAUUUCUGGGGCUGGGUAGGGUAUGUGUGCUGUGACUGGCAAGCGUGGCCCUGCAGGGCUGCUGCCAAGCCCAACAAGCCAAAGGACAGUCUGUGGCUCUUGGAGCUUUGCUGUAUCUCCAGGAGUCAAAUCCUCUAGGGGUGUCAGCAGCACCUGGAAGUAUAUGUCACAGAGAUUUUUUGUGUUGGUUUGGUUUGGAGAAGCCAUCCCAGCCACUACUGCUGCUGUGUGCCCCAAUGCCCGUCCUGCCUUUGGGCAAGGAACUCAAGCCAGAGACGGUAGGGCAGCCAAGCAUGUCAAGCACAUCAAGGAGGAGUGGGGAGAAAAGGCAAAUGGGAGCUUAAUUUUUCAGUCCAGCUGUGAGCUGGUGGAGACAGGAAACUUAUUCCUUUCCCCUGUGAUGGUGUAUAUGGAUUUGAUACUAGGUAGGAACCUGACUUUCCCCUUGAUUACCACCAGACUGGUGAUGCCAGCACACUCCUGACAAUUUGGGCAGAAGUUUGGUGUCCCAAACUGCAGAACAGCUGGGUUUUAGCUGAGAGUUGGGUGAGUGUCACAUUAGCCUGGUGUUUUGGGGAUCCUUGUAAGAGGGUGGGCCCUGUCAGGUAGACCAGGCACUGUAUCACCCAGUUCCAGAUCCUGUGCUCUCAGAAGAACAUUAGGAAAAAACAAACUGCUGUAAGCACUUCUGAGUUCCUGAGCUGAACUCAUUGCUGCCAGGGGAUGAUAAGCAUGCUGAGGAUAAGCUUAAAGAGCCAGGACCUUCAAGACAUUAACAAACAUCUCCUCAGCUUAGUCAAGAAAGUAUAUUAUCAGCACAACCUCUGCUGCCUCUGUUAAGACUGAUUCAGUUACAGACAUCUAUAAUAUAAAUUUCUAAAUCUGAAUUAUCCUUUUAGAGUCCCUUUAGAGCAAUUUGAAAGAAAUAUGCACUUUUAAGGAGUGGUUAAUUUCUCUCCAAAGGAGUCAAACAAAUGGAUGACAGAGAUUUGCAUUCAAAGAGGAAGGACCCUUAAUUGAUUACCUUAUAUCUGUAUAUGUUUUGGUUCUUUUUCUGACUUCCUGUGCUGAGCAUAAAUGCUUUGUUAACACUGAGGGUCAUGGAAUCCACGAAGAAUCCUGAAGCAGUUGCUCAAUUUAAACAGAGCUGUUUAACUAAAGACCCCUCAAUGUGUUCUAGCAAAGCACCAUGUGAAUAUCUCUGAUUUUCUGUAAAGCAAUGUGAUUACUCAGUGCAAGCCUGGAUAAAGGCUGAAAAUGCAAGAUCAAAUGCCCAUCACUGACAUCACAGUCAGCCAGACAGCCCAAAGGAACUUUUCACUUCAAACGUAGAGUUCUUACAGCCUGUUUCCAUAGAUGUGUGAAGGAAGUGGCAUUCCUGCUUUGCCCAUGGUUGUAGUCACUUGACAAGGGUCAGUUCUGGAAGCCAUUUAACACCACGGCAAAAUCACAUUCCUCAUGUCUCCUUAGAUCUCUGCUGUGCAUCCUAGAAAGCCAGUCCCUUGAUCAGAUUUAGUGACUAACUAUAUUCCCUCCUUCCCUUCCUCCCUUUUCUUUCCUUCCUCCUUCCCUCUUUCCCCCUUUCCCACUUUCCUCCUUUCUUCUCUCCCACCUCUGUUUCUUCUCUUCCCACCUGCCUGUCUCUGUGUAACCCAAAGAAUUUAAAACAACAUAUUGAUUUUUUCAUAACAAAUAAAUAAAGGAUGCUUCUGGUUCUUUCCCUGUGCUUCUGUGCAGUAUCUAUGUCAUUCAUCCCUGCUGUGUGGCUUCUGUUUUUCCUUAAGGAAACAAGUUAUGUGUCUAUGCAGCAACCACUGCAUCCAUCUUCACAAUUUUUAUUGAAAUAAAGCACAUUUUAACAUAGCAACAACCUUAGCGUAGAAGCAACCCUAUGACAAUAUUUUUUUUAGGUAAAAGAGCACAUUCUAACUUCUAAACAUUGGUAACAUAAAAAGAAACAGAGAAAGUACAUAUCUAUUCCCCAAGAGGAUAUUUAGAAGAAUGAUAUAUGAGUAGCAAUGCAGGUACAAAUAAUGUGCAGAAAAGAAUGGAGACAAAGUAAAAAAAAAAAAUAAAAAAUUGUUUGAAUGGCAAAGAGCUCUUACUACAGUGCUAUUUUUCUUGCUUGAAGUAGUUUAUACUGAGUUGAUGUUUCUUCCCACUUCAUAGGAUGCAUGGACUACAGAAAUUACUUUAUAAGGGAACUCCACUCUCUUCACGCCAUCAUCAGACCUAUAAAAAUAUUGGGCAGAACAACUUUGCUCAGUUCACGUUGAAGCAUCGUACUGAGAUUCUGAAGGUGUAGGUUCUCUCCCUGCCUCACCAUCAGUCCAGUGCAUCCCCACUUCACAGUAUCUGUGCUGCAUUUUCCCAUCUGUAGACUGGGGAUAACAAAAUGACCAGUUUUCUGCAAAAGUAAUAAAAAUAAAUACAUUUUUUAAGCUGGCAAAGACCCUAUGAAAUUACAUAUGUUGUAUUUUGGUGUUAAAAAAAAAAAAAAGAAAAAAGAAAAAAGGAAAAAAGAAAAAGAAAAAAAAAAGAAAAAAGAAAAAAGAAAAAAAGGAAAGUAAUGCAGAUUAUAACAGCUAAUGGAAGCAAAUUAUUUCUAGGACCAAAAUAUAUCUUUGUGAGAAGACUGAAGAGUCCACAUUUACAGUUUUUUGAAAGACACAAGUUUGCAUGUGGAUGGUGCUUGAAUUUUGACUUUUGACUUACAAAAGACUUUAGCAUUUUCAGUAAUUCAGGAAGUGAAUCAAGUAUAAAGGUGUCAGAGUGAAAAUUUCAUAGGGGAAGUGACACAGAGGUCAUUAGUCACACCAAAAAUAAUCAAGCCAAAAUUCUUGAAAUCAAGUUUUUUCCUGCAGAAAAGAAAAUGUACAAGGACUAAUGUCUGAAUUUUUGAGCAGAGAUGUUUUUGGUUAAGUUGCCUUCCCAAAAUUUGGACAGAUUUGGUCAAAAUUAGAAUUGAACUUGAUUUCCAGCUCAGAAUUUCCAGAUACUCUCAAGCAGACACAUACAGAAAUAAGCUAAUUUGUUCCUGUAGCUCCAUUUUGCAACCUAGUGUGCAGCUCAACACACAACCACAAAAAAGAGCUUUCAUUCUUCUGAAAAUAUGCCACUGGACAAUUUACAUGGCAACAAAUUAACUUCACUCUUCAUCUUCAAAGCACUCAUCAAGCCUUCGCUGCUAGUCCACUUAUAUUUGUGACAACUUCCUACUGUAGGCAAAAUUGUUCCUCUCAGUUUAUUUGUGUCACAAACUGGUCUCUGUGAGGUGGGAUUGUGCUGUUAGAAAAUAUCAAAUACCCAGAGUGUACCAGCAAAGAUGGACCUUACUUGGUAGCUUAAGAUGCUUUUACUUGUUCAAAUAACCCUGGUGCAAGGCUCACCUGACUUUCUAUCUCUGGGUAAAUGUAGGGAGUAAAACUGCUGCUUUGUAAGUCUCCCCAAGUUACUUGUUCACCAAAGUGCUGAGCUUUCUAACCUCUGUUGGCUGGAGACUGUAGUCAGAGUUAAAAUUGCUUAAGCAAUUGUAAUCUUGAUUAAUAUUUGAAAUGAGUGCAUCUGCCUGGCUUCCACCUGACCUGGCACUGAGAGCUGCGUGGGCUCUGGCCAUUGAACUGGGCCGAGAGAAGUGAGCCAGCUCCAACUGGAAGUUGGUGGGGUGGAGUACACUGGAAACUGCUUAAAGAGAAAAUGAUUCUUUAAUGGGAAAAGUGUGAUUUUUCCAAGUAAUUUGACCCGAGUGGAAACAAAGCUUGUCAGAGACUGUAUUACGUGAAAAUGUUUGCAGAAUGAUGUCAGUGUGUUAGCACUGUUAGCAGACAGUCGGAGCUUUAUUCACAAAAAGGGCACAUUUUCACUGCAUGUAGUGAAUUCAUAAAUGAGACUUUCUGUGCACAAGUGAGCCCCAUGAAAAUACAGCCCUUCAAUUUUGGGGAAAAAGACAUUUUUUUGCGUAGAUGGGCCAAAUUAUUUUGUGACAGUCUGAAUGCAGGUUAUCAAAGGGCUUCCCAAGGCUUUUUCUUGGAUAUGAACCCCUCUGAGCAAAGGUACAGGGAGAAGAUUGGAGCACAGGCUCAAAGGCACUACCCAAGGAUCAGGUGCAGCCCACUGCUCUCAUCACAGUGGCUCAGGUCACAGAUCCCCCUAUCUCUGCCUCCUGUGUCCUUGGCACUUCUUUAGGGAAAUGUGUAAGAAGCAAGGAAUGUAUGAAGUGAUUCGUUCUCAGAUAUACUGCUGUGCCUCUGACAGUCUCCACAGCAACCACGUCACACAAUCUGCUCCAUAAGACAAUUGGAAAAAGAUGGUUUGUUUGGGUGUUACCAGACCUUCCAGCUCAGUGACAUUUUCUGCCAGAGAUGAUGAACUCCAACACAGUGUGGACAAGCAGCAAGCACAGGGUGAGGGAAUUGGAGGGAUGCUUUGAAGAACCUGGGAAGUCUGGAGUCAGUCUCAAGCUUGGAGGCAGGCAGCCAGCCCUCAGUAAUAUUUGGGCAACGCCCAGCCAUCCAUGCACACGUGAGUGGGAGUCUAUGAGUGCAGACCCACACAGGAUGGAACUCACAGUGCUGGGUAAGGGCAGGCACAGGCCACUUGGUCAGCUACUGUCUCUGUCACUUCUUUCAGGGCUCCUACUGUUCCUUGCCUCAAAACCAGCAGUAAGGAGCCUGUGGAGGAAUUCUUCCAGGAAAAUCUUCAGUAAAGCCUUUUAAUUUUCUGAGCUGACCAUUGCUCCUCCCUUUGGGAAUGAGGAAUGAAUAUUGCCUGUAUCAUUUUCAGCUUGCUGCCAUCAGUUUCUGUGGAAUAAAAUAAUCCCCUUUCCCCUCUGCUCCAACUUUUCUGAAAAGAAAUGAUAUAUAAUCUGCAGGUGGUCUGUGGGAUGGUCCCUUGCCGGUGAUUUCAUUUUUUGUUGCGGUGCAAUAUAUUGCUAUUGUUAUUUGCACAUCUUCAGUAGUAACAUGCUAGGGAAAUACGGAUAUUUUUAUUAGAACAGGCUGAAGCAUCUUAGCAUUUGGGAAUGAUUUAGCUUUAUGGUACUUGCUGUACCACAGGUUCAUCGUACACAUGUGCAAGCACAUCUCUAACAGAAGGUAAAGCAAACUUCUCCAGCAUCAUUUCCUAUGGUGUCCCAUACAGGUUCCCAUCCCGAGCUGUUCACUGGUGUCUGAAGCCUGAUGCAGUAGUGCAUCAAGUGAUGUGACUAACAGCUGCCAUGAGUUGUGUUGUAAAGGAAAGUGUGUGUAGCAGAUUUAAAUCCCUCCUUAAUGCACAUGUAUUUCAUUUAAAAGUCUGACAAAAAAAAAAAAAUCAGCGUGUUCCUACCCUCACUGCUUAAUUAGUUCUUAUUGUACUCAUAACCCAUUUCCACUUCAUUAUUCAUAACUGUCAGUUCACUUUUUUUCUUUCUUUCUUUAAUUAAAAUUGUUUAAGAGAAAUCAGAGCUAGGCAAGGGUGCCUGACUUGCAGGCUUGGGGACCAAAUUCUUACUGCAUAGGUCAAGUGCAGUAUAGGCAGCUGCAGUGAAAGCUGAUCUCUAAUAAUCUGCCACAG